rnacentral:rRNA from 1 species
CAGGACGAACGCUGACGGCGUGCCUAACACAUGCAAGUCAAGGGUUUCUUCGGAAACACUGGCGCACGGGUGAGUAACACGUAGGUAAUCUGCCUCUAUCCCUGACAUAAUAUCGAGAAAUUGGUACUAAUAUCAGAUGAGGCCGGGAGGUCAAAGGGGCAACCUGGAUAGAGAUGAGCCUGCGUCUGAUUAGCUAGUUGGUAAGGUAAUGGCUUACCAAGGCAACGAUCAGUAGCUGGCCUGAGAGGGUGGUCAGCCACACUGGAACUGAGACACGGUCCAGACUCCUACGGGAGGCAGCAGUGAGGAAUUUUGCGCAAUGGGCGAAAGCCUGACGCAGCGACGCCGUGUGCGGGAUGAAGGAGCUUCGCUCUGUAAACCGCUGUCGGGAGGGACUAAAAGCUCCGUUACGGGGCUGGGACGGUACCUCCAAAGGAAGGACCGGCUAACUACGUGCCAGCAGCCGCGGUAA